rnacentral:rRNA from 1 species
GAUGAACGCUGGCGGCGUGCUUAACACAUACAAGUCGAACGGAAAGGCCAGUGCUUGCACUGGUACUCGAGUGGCGAACGGGUGAGUAACACGUGGGUGAUCUGCCCUGCACUUCGGGAUAAGCCUGGGAAACUGGGUCUAAUACCGGAUAGGACAAUGGUUUGGAUGCCGUUGUGGAAAGUUUUUUCGGUGUGGGAUGAGCUCGCGGCCUAUCAGCUUGUUGGUGGGGUAAUGGCCUACCAAGGCGUCGACGGGUAGCCGGCCUGAGAGGGUGUACGGCCACAUUGGGACUGAGAUACGGCCCAGACUCCUACGGGAGGCAGCAGUGGGGAAUAUUGCACAAUGGGCGCAAGCCUGAUGCAGCGACGCCGCGUGGGGGAUGACGGCCUUCGGGUUGUAAACUCCUUUCGCUAGGGACGAAGCGUAUUUGUGACGGUACCUGGAGAAGAAGCACCGGCUAACUACGUG